UUGGCUAUUCAUCUAAAUGUGGGACCCCAC
rnacentral:piRNA from 1 species